CUAGUAGCGGCGAGCGAAGCGGGAAAAGCUCAAAUUUGUAAUCUGGCGUCUUCGACGUCCGAGUUGUAAUCUCGAGAAGUGUUUUCCGUGAUAGACCGCAUACAAGUCUCUUGGAACAGAGCGUCAUAGUGGUGAGAACCCAGUACACGAUGCGGAUGCCUAUUACUUUGUGAUACACUUUCGAAGAGUCGAGUUGUUUGGGAAUGCAGCUCAAAUUGGGUGGUAAAUUCCAUCUAAAGCUAAAUAUUGGCGAGAGACCGAUAGCGAACAAGUACCGUGAGGGAAAGAUGAAAAGCACUUUGGAAAGAGAGUUAACAGUACGUGAAAUUGUUGGAAGGGAAACACAUGCAGUGAUACUUGCUAUUCGGGGCAACUCGAUUGGCAGGCCCGCAUCAGUUUUUCGGGGCGGAAAAGCAUAGAGAGAAGGUAGCAGUUUCGGCUGUGUUAUAGCUCUUUAUUGGAUUCGCCCUGGGGGACUGAGGAACGCAGCGUGC
rnacentral:rRNA from 1 species